AGAUGCUCCACGGAUUUGCACGAACUCCCGAGUCUUGACCUCCCUCCCCUCUCCGGGCUGCCGGGACAACUCGGGGCGGCCACUCUUGCCAGGAGGCAUGUUGGAUGACAAUAACCAUCUUAUUCAGUGUAUAAUGGACUCUCAGAAUAAAGGAAAGACCUCAGAGUGUUCUCAGGUGAGUCCAAACUAUUCCAGAGUUGCAUAAAUUUCAAACAACAAAAAAAAUUAGUGUCGAUCAUUCAUCGUAAUUUAAAAGAGUUGUUUAAAUCUGUAGUUUGGAAGAUAACUUUUAUUCUAUAAAGUGCAUUCCCGUUGUCUAAUAAAUAUUCAUAGCUUCUAGCAUAUCUCUUUUUUUCUGUAGUUGGAGAUUGCCUAUUCAUUGCCUUCUCUAUAUGCUGUGUCCUGAUAGAUGGGUAGUAUAAACACAGUGGGCCUAAGUUGUUGGUCAUUGCUACAGUAGUGAAAAGGAAAAAAAGGUAUCAGCAGAUGUUGCACACAAACUUGGUAUACCUUGCUACAAUAGCAGAUUCUAAUCAAAAUAUGCAGUCUCUUUUACCAGCACCACCCACACAGAAUAUGCCUAUG
rnacentral:lncRNA from 1 species